rnacentral:rRNA from 1 species
AGCUCCAAUAGUGUAUAUUAAAGUUGUUGUGAUUAAAACGCUCGUAGUUGAAUUAAGCGUUGAUAAUGUGAAUUGGAAAAAAACGAUUAGUUUUUUGAAAAUUUACAAUUAAAUUAUCAAAAAAGGUGAUUUUAUAAGAAAUUAUAAAAUUAUUACUUUGAAAAAAAUAAAGUGUUCAAAGCAAAACAUAAUGUUAAUGAAUAAUGAAGCAUAGUACAAUGCUAAGGAGAUUCGUAAGAAUUUCGAGAAAAGGAUUAAGAGGAAUAAUUGGGGUGAUUCAGAAAAUUUUGGGAGAGGUGAAAAUCCAUGAUCAAAAUAGGAUGAACGAGAGCGAAAGCAUUUCACUCAAUUAUGUUCA